UCUUGAGCAUAUGAAUGAUAUUGGAGCCGGGAAGCUCACAACGGCAUUAGCUGAAGAAGCGUUUUCUGAGAAUGUUCAUAUAGACUGGCCCAACACUAAGAUCUUAAAGCCAAUCUUUAAACAAUCUCAAGCUGUCACACAGGAAACUAUAGAGAUAUUAAUUAGAAGAUGUAGACAGAACAUACUAAAUGAGAGGCCUUUCACUGAAUUACCUCCAGCAUGGAAAUACCUGUUAAGUGAGACUUGAGCUUUGUAGCACAGAUAGCCAAUGUUUAAUUAUGUUAUUUUAUUAUAUUUUAGGUUAUGUUAAAUAUGGGUUUUA
rnacentral:lncRNA from 1 species